GAUGAACGCUGGCGGCGUGCCUAAUACAUGCAAGUCGAGCGAACAGACGAGGAGCUUGCUCCUCUGACGUUAGCGGCGGACGGGUGAGUAACACGUGUAUAACCUACCUAUAAGACUGGGAUAACUUCGGGAAACCGGAGCUAAUACCGGAUAAUAUAUUGAACCGCAUGGUUCAAUAGUGAAAUACGGUUUUGCUGUCACUUAUAGAUGGCUCCGCGCCGCAUUAGCUAGUUGGUAAGUUAACGGCUUACCAAGGCAACGAUGCGUAGCCGACCUGAGAGGGUGAUAGGCCACACUGGAACUGAGACACGGUCCAGACUCCUACGGGAGGCAGCAGUAGGGAAUCUUCCGCAAUGGGCGAAAGCAUGACGGAGCAACGCCGAGUGAGUGAUGAAGGUCUUCGGAUCGUAAAACUCUGUUAUUAGGGAAGAACAGAUGUGUAAGUAACUAUGCACGUAUUGACGGUACCUAAUCAGAAAGCCACGGCUAACUACGUG
rnacentral:rRNA from 1 species